rnacentral:rRNA from 1 species
GAUGAACGCUAGCGGCAGGCCUAAUACAUGCAAGUCGAACGGUGUCUUCGGACAUAGUGGCGCACGGGUGCGUAACACGUAUGCAACCUACCUUACAUUGGGGGAUAGCCUUUCGAAAGGGAGAUUAAUACCGCAUAAGACAGUAGCUGGGCAUCCAGCAGCUGUUAAAGAUUUAUCGAUGUAAGCUGGGCAUGCGUCCAAUUAGGUAGUUGGUGAGGUAACGGCUCACCAAGGCAAUGAUUGGUAGGGGAACUGAGAGGUCAAUCCCCCACACUGGAACUGAGAUACGGGCCAGACACCUACGGGAGGCAGCAGUAGGGAAGAUUGGGAAAUGGACGCAAGUCUGACCCAGCCAUGCCGCGUGCAGGAUGAAGGCGUUAUGCGUUGUAAGCUGCUUUUAUACAGGAAGAAACGACUCUUGCGAGAGGCAUUGACGGUACUGUAUGAAUAAGCACCGGCUAACUCCGUGCCAGCAGCCGCAGUAACAC